UACAGGUGGGCGAGAUGAGUAUUCUAAGGCGCUUGAGAGAACUCGGGAGAAGGAACUCGGCAAAUUGGUACCGUAACUUCGGGAUAAGGUACGCCCUUGUAGCUUGACUGGCCUGCGCCAGAAGGGUGAGAGGGUUGCAAUAAACUGGUGGCUGCGACUGUUUAAUAAAAACACAGCACUCUGCAAACACGAGAGUGGACGUAUAGGGUGUGACGCCUGCCCGGUGCCGGAAGAUUAAAUGAUGGGGUGCAAGCUCUUGAUUGAAGUCCCGGUAAACGGCGGCCGUAACGAUAACGGUCCUAAGGUAGCGAAAUUCCUUGUCGGGUAAGUUCCGACCUGCACGAAUGGCGUAACGAUGGCCACACUGUCUCCUCCCGAGACUCAGCGAAGUUGAAGUGUUUGUGAUGAUGCAAUCUACCCGCGGCUAGACGGAAAGACCCCAUGAACCUUUACUGUAGCUUUGCAUUGGACUGUGAACCGAUCUGUGUAGGAUAGGUGGGAGGCUAUGAAAGCGGAACGCUAGUUUCGCUGGAGCCGUCCUUGAAAUACCACCCUGGUUUGUUUGCGGUUCUAACCUUGGCCCGUAAUCCGGGUCGGGGACAGUGCAUGGUAGGCAGUUUGACUGGGGCGGUCUCCUCCCAAAGUGUAACGGAGGAGUACGAAGGUACGCUAGGUACUGUCGGAAAUCGUGCUGAUAGUGCAAUGGCAUAAGCGUGCUUAACUGCGAGACCGACAAGUCGAGCAGGUGCGAAAGCAGGUCAUAGUGAUCCGGUGGUUCUGUAUGGAAGGGCCAUCGCUCAACGGAUAAAAGGUACUCUGGGGAUAACAGGCUGAUACCGCCCAAGAGUUCAUAUCGACGGCGGUGUUUGGCACCUCGAUGUCGGCUCAUCUCAUCCUGGGGCUGUAGCCGGUCCCAAGGGUAUGGCUGUUCGCCAUUUAAAGAGGUACGUGAGCUGGGUUUAAAACGUCGUGAGACAGUUUGGUCCCUAUCUGCCGUGGGCGUUGGAUAUUUGAAGGGGGCUGCUCCUAGUACGAGAGGACCGGAGUGGACGAACCUCUGGUGUACCGGUUGUCACGCCAGUGGCAUCGCCGGGUAGCUAUGUUCGGAAGAGAUAACCGCUGAAAGCAUCUAAGCGGGAAACUCGCCUUAAGAUGAGAUAUCCCUGGGGCUUUAAGCCCCUUGAAGGGUCGUUCGAGACCAGGACGUUGAUAGGUCAGGUGUGGAAGCGCAGUAAUGCGUUAAGCUAACUGAUACUAAUUGCCCGUAAGGCUUG
rnacentral:rRNA from 1 species